GGCAGUAGUACUCUGAAUCCAUCAAUGCAACUGAAUCCAAACAUGUGAAUCAAGUUGUGGCAGGUAUCUCUGCAUGCUUAAUUCACUCAAUUUUUUGUGCAGUAGGAGUAGUUGCUAGAAAUUUACUGAAUUUUGUUUCCAAUAGAUGCACUGAAUUUCAAAGAAAGAGUACUCUAGGAGUACAUGGAGUUGAUGCACUGAAUUUUGUUUGCAGUAGAUGCACUGAAAUUUACUGAAUUUUGUUUGCAGUAGGAGUAGUUGGAGUUCUGAACUGCUAGGUGUACUUGUGGAAGCACUUCGCUGGUGCGCCGUAUCUGAUUGAUUUGCAACUAAAUUCUAGCCACUCUGAAUUCUUAGUCUGAAUGCACAUCAAGGAGUAUUUUUAAAAAGUACAGCAAGGAGUAGCAUUUACAUGUUUAAAAAGCAAUUCAGCUCGAUUUCUGUGUGUAUCCAUAUGCCCAAUCCCGCUCUAAUUCAGCCUACUCCCAUCUCUAGAUAAAUAACAGUAGAAUAAUCUGUGAGUACUGUUAUUUCACAAUACACUGCCAAUUUUCAGCGCCAAACCAGGGAAAUUAUGUCAAACGAAUAUGGCCUGAAUUGUGACAGUAUUGAAAUCAUGCAAACAUGCCUAAAGGUUAAGUGUUUCACUACUGCACUGGGAUUAAAGAUUCAGUUGUUUUCUAGUCUAGUGACAUUGUCAUUGUAGUUUCAGUAGAAAUGACCUUCUUCCUAAUUAGUAACAGAGAUGAAAGUUUAUAUAGUUGUGAUAUUUUUGGUGUAAUAUUAUUGUUUACAUGCUUAUAUUUUUUUGUUUUCUGCAUGUUCAGAAUUGCAUGCUUUUGGGCUGCAUCAUAAAAACUUAUCUAAUGUAGAACACUCCAGUGGAGUCUAGUUUUACAACAACGAAGUGACCCAGGCAGUGUGCAAAAUUUGUGCAGGAAAACAAAGCCGAGUUUAGAUGCAGUAGAUGAUUGAUUACAAAACAACAAAAGAAUAAUAUAUAUAUAUAUAUAAGCAAUCCAGCAAAAGGGAAAAUAAUGUCACAUACAACAAAAAUUGGCAACUUGCAAAGUCACAAAUCUGAGGCAAUAUUAUUAAUAUUUGACUUGUUGUAUAAACAUAAUAAGGUUUAAUUGCUAACAUCGAAAGAUAAGAUAUCUGUACAAGAACACCGAAGAGCACCAACUUAUCUAUAGCAUAAGAGUAAAUCCUCUGUCAUAUUUAAGAGCGGACUUCAGCCUGUAAGGACUUCCUUAUAGACGAUGUUCUUCAUCGAGGUUUGUAAGGACAAGGUAGGUCGUUUUCGCUUCUUUGAUUUACUGAUUUGCUUCUUGCCAUUCUCCUUGUCCUUCUCCUUCUCAAUGAGGAUCUUUAUAUUUCUCUUCGCGGUGGCUCCAGACAAUGCGACAUAGAGUUGACCAUGAGAAAACACUGGAUUAGGUAGGUACACGCCAACAAUCGGAACCGUCUGUCCUUGAGCCUUGUUAAUCAUCAUAGCAAAGCUAAGCCUUACAAGAAAUUGCUUCCUCUUGAACUUGAAUGGAAACAUUGUCGUUGUCAGACGGGCAUAGGGGUAUUCGAGGAAGGAAUACCCUCCUACCUGCGUGUUGUCCGAUCACGAUUUCUGCGUCGAUGGCGUUCCUCUCGAAACCUCGCAACACAAGCCUCGUCCCAUUGCACAGACCAUUAGCCGGAUCAAUGUUCCUCAGAAGUAUGACAGGGCAGUUGAGCUUCAGUUUGAGUGCAUGCAGAGGCAGAUCGUUGGGAGUCAAUCCACAUAGGAACUCAGGAGCAUAGUAGCCAUAUGGGUCGUCUUUUGCACUGUCAAAGCUAUGGUAGAUUACUUCUUCCCCCUGAAAACGCUCUACCAUGCGUAUGUUUAUCUUGUCGACGUUGUCGUUUGUGGUGGACAGGAUUGCGCGUGAAGUCAUGUAAUUCGGAUCAGACAUGUUGUCAUCUAAUCUCGAAAACACAUGGUCAAUCAGCUUCUCCAGGUCGUCACCCUCGCCUGUAGACGACACACAAAUAUCUUCAGGGAGUCGUAUGUUUCCUUGAUCGUCAACUUCCUCGGUACCAUUUCCUACCCUUAGCAAGUAAUCCGCAAACCAGGUGUCAUUAUGAGCCCUCAUGUUGGUGAUGAGCCUUAGCUGGCGCAUACCCUUCCAGAGAUGUGAACUUCGGAGGGUUGCAUCGAUUAUAUGACCACGGGACCCCCUCCUGACGACUGGAAGCACCUGCUGAAGUACCCGCGAAACACAACAGUUUUUCCUCCAAAGGGUCGGUCCCGUCUUCCCAUGAUGUCGCGCAUGCUGUUGUCGAGUGCCUCGACCGCCUGUCGCUUAGUCAUGGUGGCCUCGUCCCAUAGUAUCAAUGAGGCAAUCCUCAGUAGCUUGGCGGUACCACUCUGCUUCGUGAAGGUGCAUGAGGCGCCAUCGUCGCAGCUCAAUGGGAUCUUGAACCUCGAGUGGGCAGUCCUGCCUCCAGGCAUGAUAGAAGCGUCGACACCUGACGUCGCGGUAGCGACAGCGAUGUUUCCCUCGCUUCGAACCUUGGCGAGCAGCACCCUAUACAGGAAGGUCUUCCCUGUACCUCCCGGGCCAUCAACAAAGAACACACCCCCAUCACCGCGUUCAACAGCAGCUAGUAUCUCGUCGUAUGCAACCCUCUGCUCCAAGUUUAGCGAUGAUGCCAAUUUAGUGUCAUUGAUGUCAAAAUCGAUGUUGGAUUCCUCGAUCACUUCUCUGGCCUCGCCCUCGUUUGGGUCGAACGCAUCGUCAAUGCAUGGAAGAGCGAAAUCAGCUAUGUCUUUGCCCAUGGACUGCAACAUACCCCUAAUGUCAAGCAACACCAUCUGUUCCACCUCAAUCGGGCACGUGUGUGAUCGCCGAUAGUCAUCAGACAUAGGCUCGAAGUUCCUAUCCCAUAAACCACGCACGUCGCCUGGCUCACAGUGCACCAAAAUUGUUGUGAAGAGCCUCCUGAGAGAACAUGGCAUUGCCCACUGCUCUGCCUCGGUAAGACAAUCGUCGAGCGUGUUAUCUGCCUCGAUGAGUCCCAACCUUUCGGCAGCCUCUCUAAAGCUCCCGCAUAGCCUACCGUCCACGGUGAGCAUGUCCUCAUAGGAUGUCUUGCCAGCAACAUGGUUUAGCAGCACAAGCAGAUAGUAUCGCUCCCCCUCGGCAGGAUUGGCAGACACAAUUCAACCUAUCUGAUAACGCUCCACCCGCUCUUUCCAAUACUUCUUACCCUUCUGCCAUGUGAACCUUCCAGGAAAAUCCUUAUACAAUAUAUUCCUAGCCCACGGGUGGUUUUGGUUAGCUUUGAAAUACUCUGUCAACAUGGAUUUGGAAGAAUUCUCAGAGGCGACUACGUCGGUCAAGUGAGCUUGCUCACUGAAUGCCACCCUGUGCAUAUUCGGGAGAUGAAGAGGCAACUGUAGGACAGGCGGGUCAUUGGCACACAAGGGGAAGCCAAAUAUCCUCCACAUCGCCUCUAGAGGAGUAACCCACCUCGCGUCUACGUAUUCUUUUGAUCUCAUCAAUGUUACCAUCGGCGUCGGGUUGGUCGAUGCUGAAAGAAGCCCUAUCAUGGCCCUUGUAUAUGUACUUGUAAAGGUAUUUGACGGCCUUUAUGCUGGAGCAAACCUCAACUUUGAUGUGACAAUUAAACAUACGUAGAAGGUAAGGGUUAUAUGGUACAACCCAUCUGUUGUCCAACAUUUUAUCCCGGACCUUAGCCUGCUGACCAUCAUCAACUGGGUAUGAGUCCUUGCCCUAUGCCGUGUUUUCAUUGAACAACAACGGGUAUCUGCACUUGCACUCGUUAUGUUGCAUGCACACAUUUUUGGGGUUGAGAGCACCGCAUGGUCCAUGCAUCAUAUGUUUCACCACCAAGGCGUGGAGUUCAGGAUACUUCUGCUUGUCUGGGAGUUCGGCAGAAAUAAGUCGAUCGUACUGCUCUGAAACGACAAGCUUAUAGGCAGAAUCCAUGAUCAACAAAAAGUGUGCGUGGGGGAGGCCCCUCUUCUGGAACUCGACUAUGUAUACAUGUGCGACAACAACACCCAGGAUAUUCUUCUUGAACAACAUCUCUUUCAUAGCCUCUAGCUUGCCAUGGAACACACGAGCCACAAGAUCAGGUCGGUCUUGCGUUGUCUGACUAGGAAACAACUCAUUCGUUAUCUCUUCCCAGUUAGGGUUGCAAGUCAUGGUCAAGAAGAUGUCAGGCUUCCCGUAGGUAUGGACUAUUGCCAUGGCAUCCAUAUGCCUCCGCUUCAUGUCGCGGUCACCACCUGGGUACGUUCCAGGGAGCACUAUCCUUACUCCAACAGCGCUUGCCCGGGUCUCUCCGGAUGUAAUUGCAUCAACAACUCCUUUAUACAGGUCGGCACGGAUCUUUGUCUGGUUCUUCCUGUACCAUUUCAACCUACAGCUCUCAAUCUUGAUGUACAUGUCCACCCCCCAUUGCUGGAGCAAUCGUGCUCCACAGAGUAUGGGAUUGAAUAUCCCAGGUCGUGUCUACAGCAUGUAGCAGUAGUAGUCUCUCACCGAGACGCAUAACCUGCUAUUCCCCUCUGCACAUGGAUGAGUAACACGGAAGUUAGGAUUCAUAUGAGAACUAUACAAUUCAUCAAAACGACAUAAUACGCAUAAGGCUUACCUGCUUCAUCAUCAUCAUCAUCACGUCCACCUCUUGGUUGUUGCACAACCGGCUAAGGGACAUCACGUUUAGGUAGUUUCGGGUGCCAACCAAGCUCCCCCCUUGGGUAGAAGAGUGGGUAAGAGAGCGGGUCAUACGAGCCAGCCGUCACAUGUAUACUGUGCCUCUGGUUGUCAUUCCCGCAAAGUGUAAUCCUACGAUCGAACCUCUUUGCUAGGUCAGUGCCCUCCACCCAAAUUGCAGCGACCUCAGAUGACAGAGGUCUAUUAUACUUCCUUUGGUCUAGUCUCUAGUCAGUGUUGAGGUCUAUCCUGUAAUCGUCGAGGUUGUCCCUGUGCGCACCCAAACUCCUAAACUGUUGGGAGUAUGGGUUUUCCCUGAGUAUGUCCACUAACUUUCUGACGACAUCUUGGUCUAAUUGUUUGGUGGCAGCCUUGCGAUGGGUUAGGCCUGGGUCGUCGUCGUAGAAGUACAACUGUAGAUGCUAUGGACGGGAUGUUGGCCCGAAGGAAUGAACAUUGUGGUAGAUGGUGUCGUGUGCCCGAAACGUGUACACCCCAGACUUCAUGUUUGUGUAGCUUUCAUCGAGGCUGAUGCCGAGGGUUGUGAAGGAGAAGUGGCCGUUGAAGAACCGUAUGUUCUCCCGAUAAUGUCUAGAGUCCACAUCAGUGCUAGACCAAAGCCUCAUGAGCUUCAGGGUGGGCUCCGGUUGCUUCAGCUCGAUCUGCCCACUGCGACAGCAAAAUCCUGGGGCCUCGGACACAAACUUCUUAUCCUUGCAGUGGUCGCAGUUCGCGGCGUGCUUCAGGAUGUGUGUGUUGGCUGGGAGGUUUGAGUACACAUAGUCAAAUGGAUCAUGGUCGACAUAGUUAUUGUGCCUUGAGUCUUCCAAUUCGUUGUGCUCCAUGUCAUCAACAUCUAGGCCUGCAAACAAUGUUUCUAGUUAGUGAGAUACCCCCAACAUGUGGAUCACGCUCAAGCGGGUGUACAUACCUUCACCAGCAAACAGGUAAUAUUCAUCGUCAAAGAGGUUGUCAGGAUUGGCAUUAUCAUUCAUGAGACCAUUGAGGUAAGCGUCCAUGUCGUCUGCCCAUGUGCCAAACAACACAAAUGAGGGUUCAGUCUCAAGGGACGCAAGGAGAGUAAGGAGGGGGGGUGUUACCUUCGCUUCUGAUCGUGUACUCCGGUGUGCUAGAUGAUGUUGAGGCACCGUGUGCUUCAACUAUGGUAGGUUGUCCCAUUGAGCUAAUCUCCGAUGUGGAGAUGGACUUGACAGUUGGGGUAUUCACCCUACCUGCAAAGCUUGCAUUACGACGAUCUAGCAGAGCCUUCCUCUCACCACGUGGCACCUGCGAACAUGAUUUUCGCUUGCCAAUUUUCUCCUGAUGCUUACACGCCGCCAUACUUCCCUUGAAAGCUCGCUCUCUCGUCCUACGCUGAGCUCUGGACUCAUGACUCUGCUUGCCAGCGCCAUAAUCCGCUUUUGUUACCGGAUCACUGGUUUGCUGGUCGGCACUUGGUAGGUGCUCAUUGAUUUUUAUGAGGUUGCCAUCUACAUCACCAUCACCUACGGUUCUGCUUAGGUAUGCACCUACAAUAUUAUCAAAUCAUUAUAAAUAACUGAUGAAUGAUUACAAGAUGAAAGAUGAUCGUUGAUGGGAUAUCUACCAUCUGUUUCGGUGUUGCGAAUGUAUGUGGGGGCCGACUUGACGGUUGUAGAACGAUCUAUCUGUUCACUGUCGGAUUGUUGCGUGAUGGUUGGAAGUGUGAGAGUCGGACAAUGUGCGUGAGGGUUGAAAGCGUGAGAUUUGGACAAUGUGCUAGUUUGAUCUGGACGUGGCAUUGCGAUCGAUUCAGCACAAAGGGUGUUUUUCCUUCUAGCAUAGUCUGCCUUUCUCUUCGCACUUGACUCCCCCUGCUCAUCAGGGGUCCUGUUGUUUCGUUGUUCCUUUCGUCGCUCACGCUGCACUUGAUUAUCUUUUUGGAGGUUGAUCGUACCCUCUUCCUUUUUCUUCCGAUAAGAUUCUCGUCUCCGUGCGUUUCUCUGCUCCUUUUGUUCUUCUUUCUCACGUUGCCACCCAGCUAGUACAUUGUCAUCAAUGUACCCAACAAUGGGAGUACUCGAAGCAGGCAACGUUGCAUCAGCAUGUGACAAGGAUGUAUAGCUAGAGCUAGUUGGGUUGGCUGGUUGAGCAAUAAAUUGAAACAUAACCAUAUCAUCCAUGUUCAGCAAGCAUGAACCUGCAGAAUGAGGUCAUUCUAUCUAACGAUUACUUAAUUUAUGAAAUGAAAACUUAAACACAUGUACCUGAUAUGCUAUGGGAAGGUUGAUCAACACUUGUUAUAUCAUCAAGAGGGGGUCGGGAAACACACUGAUUUUCAUCUUGGAGGUUGGUCACAGUCUCAUCUUUUUUCUUCGGAUAAGCUGCUCGCCUCCGCGUGUUGUUCUGCUUAUUUUUAUCGCCUGUGCAGUUAUUGCUGCUUUCUUUAUCACAUUGCCCCAUAACUACCAUUACCAAAUUUACGCUACAAUUAUACCAAGUAUAAAUUCUAGAUCCGUACCUGGUAUCUCAUGGGAAGGCUGAUGAACAUUGGUGAUAUCGCCAAGAGGGGGUCGAGAAACAUUCUGCUUUUCACUUUGGAGCUUGAUCGUAUUCUCUUCCUUUUUCUUCCGAUAAUUUUCUCGCCUUCGCGCGUUUCUCUGCUCCCUUUGUUCUUCUGUCAAGUUAUUACUGCAUUCUUUAUCAUGCUUUCUGGUAGAUAGCUUGGCGACAUUCAGGAGUAGAGAUGUUUUCUGGGAAUCACUUGCUGUAGACGCUGGCGCAAAAUCUAAACCAUCAUGACCAUGGGCAUUUAGGCAGACAUCGUUAUGUGGAGAUUUUGGACCUAGAGGAACAGAACAAAAGCUAGUGGUUAGGCUCACAGAUGAAUAUGAACACCCAUAAGCACAAGAAGGGAAGGUGCGUCCCAUUGCGACGUUGUCCAUUCUAUGUUUUUGUUUAAGAUGGAUCUUUAUUUGGUUCAGCUCUUUGAAGUUCUUCCUCCCUCUCCUUUUAUAUUACCAUGUAAACCUCCUUCUAUCAUAUUGUCCCUGUUAGUCUAGCCCUAAGUCUGUACUCUUUAGGUCACUUCCCUCUCUCUCACACCCUCCAUUAUCCAUUUCCCUCUCACGUCAGAAUAUUGAAUGUUUCUACCACACAAUUUUGGCUGCACGCACUUGCUAUGGACAACUUUUCAGUAACAAAGGUUAGAUUUACAAAUUACAGGUUUCAUCUGUGGGUUUUUUAACCUUGGAGUUAAAAAUUUGUGUUUAUGCGUGCUAAUCAGAAAUCUUUUGAACUAUAACUCCUCUUUCAUUUCCCUAAGAUUAAUUAGUAAAUAGGAAGAUUAUAUGGUGUGAUUGUUACACAUAUUUUAUUUAUGUGCCUAUGAGUUCAGGGUUGGUGGAUUAGCAUCUUAUAUAACCAUGGCAUGAAAAUGAUUAAUUUUUCUUUCAGUUGAACCUAUUUGUAAGUCCCAACGGUGUUGUGAGCCUUGCUUACUGCAAUUUUUAGUUAAACUUCUUCAUCCAGCAACUCCGAGGAGUAGGUUUUGCGUGACUGAUACCAUGUUGCUUCCAGAAAUACCAGUACUUUAUGGUUUCACAUGUGAUUGCCCUUAAAUAUAUAUAUAUAUAUAUAUAUAUAUAUAUAUAUAUAUAUAUAUAUAUAUAUAUAUAUAUAUAUAUAUAUAGUAUAGUAAUGUUCUGUUCAGGUUCGGCAUAAAAGUUGUAUUCUAAUUACUGCUGCAGCUUCGCAUGUUGAAUUAUGUUAGACAUGAGGUUCUAAACAAGACAUUAGAAGCUUUUGGUGAUCUCAAAGAUGAUGAGGAGCUUGGUCCUGCUGACCGGGUUACAGUUAAGAAAUAUAUCACAGGCUUGAGUAACUUGGAAGAUGAACAUGCACAUCCACAUGAUGACAAUCAUGAUCACAUACAUACCAUGAAUUUAAGGGAUGGCCGAGUCCGUAUUUUGAAUGGCAGGCAGGCUUUUUGUUUGCUUUUCUUUUUUGCCCUUAAAUAGUUGGCUUGAUACGUCCAUAAUUCUAUCUUGUCUCUGUAUUUUAUGGAGAUGUUUAGUUUCAUACUAAAUGCGGUCAGUUAACAAAGAUUAUUUUUCCUUUUUGUAAAUAUUGUCUUCAGGUGUGCAAGCCAGUUACUGGGCAAUGCUUGACGAGGGACGGAUAAAUGCAGCUACAGCCAAUAUUUUGAUGCGAUCAGUUGAUGAAGCUAUGUAUCUUGUUUCUAGCCGACCAUUAUGCGAUUGGAACAAUUUGCAGUCCAAUGUCCAUUUCCCAAGUUACUACAGGUUCCUUUCUGCAAGCAUGUUACCACGAAGUUUUAUCACAUACUUCACAGUACAAAGAUUGGAGUCAGGAUGUUACAUCUGUCCUGCAUUUCUUCGUGCUAAUAGAAUUGCAAGGAGAUUUUACCAAGAUUUUCUUGGUAAAAUCUUGGAAAACUUUUAGAAUGCUUUUAUGUGCUUGUUAUUUACCACUUCUUUAUUACCAAUUCCAGAAUGCUUGUUAUUUACCACUUCUUUCCUUCCAAUUCCAGAACUUAGUAUCCAAUCCAUGGAUUAGAGGCAGUAAAUGAAUAUUAGUCACACUACGUGGCGCACAUGACAGAUGUAAUGCGUAGGUGUCCGUCGUUAUAGUCCAUAAGCAGAACAGAAAGUAGUAUUUUGUUACUUGUCGGAGCCAGCUACAGACCCUUUUUUUUAAGAUACGUGGAAAGUAGUAUGGUGCAGAUGGACGCAUGGCUCAAACCAUUUAGCUUUUUAAGGUUGAACUAUGUAAAGCCUAUCUAAAGUCAUUGUCAUUUGUGAUGUCCUGUUCUAGUAUCACCCCUCCAGAGGGACUAAUAUGCAAUACUGACAGUUUGUUGUUUUUGUCCAAAUCUGUUAGGCAUGAUUGAUGAAAUGAUCAAAUAAAACCCAUUUGAUAAUGCAUGUUAUUUACAAAAUCCCAAUACCUGGAGUCAUUGGGUAAUACUCGUCAAUGUUGUGACUCGGUGCGAGAACGAUUUCUGGGAUGGAUUCGUUGCCAUUUAUACCCUCAUUAUGGCUUGUAACGUGAAAGUUAUAUGCAAUGUUGUGUUUAUACCAGAAUGAAGGUCAACAAGACGGGUAGAGGGUAUACCUGGACUUCCUUGGGGAUGUAGAUCAACAAGAGGUGGUAGAGGUACAUCCGAUGCCUUUCUUUGUUCCGGUGCCUUGCUAUUUGAAUUUCCCUUACUUAACUUUUGUUCUGAUGAGUGACCUAUCACAAAUGUAGGCCAACAUGAGAAGCUAGAGUAGAGGUCCAUUUCAAAGUAAACUUACAGGAGGACAAAGCUACCAACUGCUUACAAGAAAAGCUUGAACCUGGUCGAGCUGGGAACAUUGAUAAAGAAAAGGUGUAAUUUAGCUUUGCGUAAAAUUCAGAGAAGUUGCAUAUGUAUAAAUUGUAUGAUUCACAAGUCCGAAAACCUUCAAGUGUCUUAUUGAAUGUGCUGCCGACGGAAGCAUAAAAAAUCAUCAUACAUACAGGAAGGUACUGCUCCAUCGGAGUUCUGUACGUAUGUGCGUUGGGCCCUGUUGAAUGGACGAAGGGUUUAGGGUUUAGGCGAACCUGAUUUAGGCGGAACCUGAUCGGUGGCACCCUCCCUGGGAUCGGCGGAGGCGGAUGCGUGCGUGGGGUUGUGCGGCAGCCUCCCACGGAUCGGCAGCGACGGAGGCGUCAAUGGGAUUGUGCGG
rnacentral:lncRNA from 1 species